rnacentral:rRNA from 1 species
AGAUUGAACGCUGGCGGCAGGCCUAACACAUGCAAGUCGAGCGGUAGAGAGGUGCUUGCAUCUCUUGAGAGCGGCGGACGGGUGAGUAAUGCCUAGGAAUCUGCCUAGUGGUGGGGGAUAACGUUCGGAAACGGACGCUAAUACCGCAUACGUCCUACGGGAGAAAGCAGGGGACCUUCGGGCCUUGCGCCAUCAGAUGAGCCUAGGUCGGAUUAGCUAGUUGGUGAGGUAAUGGCGUCACCAAGGCGACGAUCCGUAACCGGUCUGAGAGGAUGAUCAGUCACACUGG